rnacentral:rRNA from 1 species
GUGUAGGUUGAGUUAUAGGCAAAUCCGUAACUCUUUAUCCGAGACCUAAAAGGCUCAUGACGCUCUUCGGAGUAGAUUGAGAAUCCAUGAUACUAUCGAGCCAAGAGAAGUUUCUAAGUUUAGUAAUAAUUGCCCGUACCGUAAACCGACACAGGUGGGUGGGAUGAGUAUUCUAAGGCGCGUGGAAGAACUCUCUUUAAGGAACUCUGCAAAAUAGCACCGUAUCUUCGG